GUGUUUGGGGAGCCGCAUACCAGGGUGAACGUACACAGAUGAUGGUUUGUCAUCGCUCUUUUCGUCGUUUCUCAUUGGUAGAAAGUUGAAAUUUUUGCUACGGACCGAUUCUUUCCCGUGACGCGCGCUGUAAUUAACCAUCUGUAAAGAAUUUCAGAACCGCGAUGUUACGAUCAAACCCAAUGUUUACCUUAUUUCAGUUUCAUAUUAACCUUGAUUAACCUCUUAUUACUGGUGAUUAUUACCGUAGUGGUAAUCAGUUGUUCUCUGAAAUAGUAUACAAUAGAAGAAAUAAUGAUAAACAUGCGCAAAAAAAAAGAAAAAAAAAAUACUAAAUAAACGUUACGUACUAGUCGGUACUAGUCAUGUUUCCAUUGUAAAUCGUUGUUGGCCUAGCGUUCCGGAAACGGAUGUUAAUAUGUUAAGGUAUCACAAGGUGUUGGCUGAAAGGGUGAAACUCGCAAUAGUUCUUCAUUUCGUAACACGAAACAGAAAUGUUUCACACGCGAAAGCAAUGAAUGAUAAAUAAAACGAACCGUGGCAGGGAUGAAGCUAAAAGGCAAACGCCGCAAGUGAUGUGGAUGGAAGAAAGUGGCAAAAAGAGCAUGCGAUAAACAGUGUUAAUUUGACUACAGAUGGAACAUUUAUCGGUCCCAAAUUUUUUUGCGCUACGUAUUGAAUUAGUUAUCCGCAGAAAAAAUACACGCCGAGUAAAAGUAGAAUUCAAUGAAUGGGAAUUGGGACAGGAACUGGCUGCUAUGUAGUGGAUUGCAUUAAACGAUGUUACUAUACAAUACACAAUACAACCAUUACGCCCUCCUCUGAUGUUGUUCAAAAACAGGUUCCACUUCAAAAAGCUUUAAUAACAGCCUUGCUUUUUCAGAAUACAUGUUACUGCAAGAGUUGUGAUAAAUUAUUACAAAAUUCAAUCACAUUGGGAUUUCAAAGAGGAAUUUUUAUACUCUCUAAGAAAUAAUGUCGGUAAAAAUUUGGUAAAAAUAUUGAAGAUUAUACCUCGAUAAAAUUGUACCAAAAUAUUUGGCGCUCUUUUAUUAUGUUUCUUUUUUUAUUAAUUGUUGUACGUUUAUCUCCGUCGUUUGAUAACGCAAGACCAACAUAGAUUUAGGAUUCUCAUUGAACUUUUGUACUUUGAUUCCAGUGUCCCCCCACUCCGGGUUCAAUACCAGAGUGAGACAAAUACAAAAGAUCUAUGUGUGAAAGGAAGCUAAAGAAAGAAAAGUUAUUCAUUUUUGGUGGGGUAAAAUUCGGGAUCGGUGGGAAAAAUUUUUAUUUUGGGGAUUCUCUCCCCAUCUUAUAAAAAAAACCCAUGCCAGACCUUGCGAAAGAAAAAAAAAAUGAAGGGGCAAGUAUAUCCGCUCUGAAGAUGGGCCAAACCAAAACAGGAAGGCGCAAAAUCGACAGUGUACUGAUGUUUGUAUAAUCUCGGUAAAAGAAAACAAAAAAACCCGAAAAUGUAUAAAUAGCUUCAUGAUAAGAUUUAAUUUUUGGGUGAAUGUAAAAUUUUGCAUUAGCAAAGUCUUAGUGUUGGACCAACUAGUGAUAAAAAAAAAAAUUAAAACAUCUAUGCAGUAGGGUCCGAUUAAAUAAUUUCAAGAACGAUUCUGGAGCUUCCAUAAAUGUCAGGAUUGUACCGAGCACACUCGAUUUUCGUUCGCGAUCGCCGACCUUUGACGAAAUGAUUUAGUCGAACCAGAGUCAAACCCGCUUCCCAAAAAAUGACUGAAGUUAGGAUCGGUAUUUGUGGUCAAAUUUUUUUAAAUAAAAGAAUUGCCAUCAAACAUCCGAUCACUUUACGCCAUCUAGUUGUGGUUAAAUUAAAGACAACUGAAAUACACAGUUGAAGGAAGGCAGAAAGCGCUGGUAGAGGAGUGAAAAGCGAGGGGUUGCCCACUCUUUUGCCAAGUGAACCUCCGGAAAAAUGAGAAAAUUGAGAAUUUUUUCCCCCAAGCUUUUCCCAACAAACUCAGAGGGUAUUUUCCAAAAAUUUUUUUGUCUUCCUAUAUACUCGAUUUCUGGCCGAUUUCCCGGCUAUUUUGUCAUUUUUCCUGACGAGUGAAAUUAGUUAAGUGUAUUUAAUUACACCGAGGUGUUGGCACAUUCUUUUUCCGUGGUUUCCAAGUUAAGUAGAUGACCGAAACAAAAUAUUUCUGAUAAUUAGUAAACAUAAUGUGGUUGAUCUUGAACGGAUCGCGAAAAGCGGAUAUUGCAUCGCGGACCAGAGCGGGAAGAAAAGAAACGGAUGCGGAGCGAUCUUAGACGGUAAGGAUCAGUGCAGUUUCGUAUUUGUUUUGAUAAAAAGAAAUAUAAACUAAAACUAAAAACGAUUAUCCUGUUGAUUGAACUCCAAAUACGGAUAUCAACUUGAAAACGUCACAGAGCUGAAGUUGACACUCGUAAAUCGUAUCACGAUUGCAUCAUUAUUGAAAUAAUUCCAAUAAAGAGGUGAGAUAUUCUUAAUGAAAUUUUCCCUUAUCUUCUGUGUCUUGACAUUCACGGCUCACAGGGGGCACGGCGAUUGAAAAGAUAAAUAACUCCGAUAUAACCAAUGUCGCAAUGAAAGGUUGAUCAAUCCCAAUUCAAGGGGGCAUCAAUUGCUUUCCUUGUGUGCAGUACUAUAUAUCUCAUAUCAAUAGAUAGCAAUCAUUCUUAUCUGCAGAAGAAGAUCUACAAAUAAGUGGCAUCUUUAAUGUUGGAGAUAUCAAACAAGAGUUGGAGAUUUUCGUACUGGAUGCGUGCUCCUUUUGCUAAUUAUAAAUUUAUCAUUCGUUGGACACAAAGUAGUAGAGACGAUGAAUUUUAAGUUGAUAACGGGUUUUCUUCUGAUUGGGAUUUUGGGUUCGAUCGGUCGUACUAAUGGAGUAGCGCUGAUGACCCGUAUUCAAAUGGCAAAAACUUCAUUGGAGGAAUAUUUGGAACAAUGCUGGAAUGAUUUUGUCGAUUUAAUGGACAACGGAAUUCCUGGCCUCAAUAUCCCGACGUUUGAUCCAUGGUUCUCUAACGACAGUUUCCCAUUCCGGAUGCAAGAUAGCGAUAUCGUUCUUCGUGCAGAUGUCAAUGCUACGAACGUUACGUCGCUUGGCUUUUCUUCAGUGGAGAUUCCAGCAGUGUAUGACAAUGGAAACGGGCACUUUAACAUUUCCCUGACUCUGUCAGACCUAAAAAUUAAUGGCCUCUACUCAGUCGUGGGUAGCCACCAUUAUUUUUAUCCUAUUGUCGGGAAUGGACCCUUUGAUAUGAUGAUGAUGGAUGUUUACUCAAGCGGGACUGCAACUCUCAUGUAUAAUGGUACGGUUUAUAGUUUGACUAAGUUGGAAUUAACUCCGCUUUUGUACGGAUCGGCAACUGCCGAAUUCUUCAGUCUAUCGAUUUCCGGUACAGAUAGCACAUCCGCAACCUACACCCAAAUCGUUAAUUUGAUGACGGAACUAUUGUGGUUUCAAGUAGAAGAAGAGCUUCGCCUACAGUUAAGCGUGUCGAUAACUGAAUACCUGAACAACCAGCUCUUGGAUUUCAAACCAAGCAGUUCUUCAGUUCCCCUUCAAAAACAAAAAUCUUAAAUCAUUGUUAUCUGCACUUUUCUCGAAGCAUCAACUUACGAUUUAAAACUUAUAUUCAAAUUUGGGUAUCCUUUAACUGUUUUUUGUGGAAAAUUUUAUUCAUAUGGUGAACCAAAAAAAAAAAAAGGAUAGAAAAUUUCGAUGCUUUGCAAAAAAUGAAUCUACACGAAAGUAGACUACACAAAGGAGGAAUAGCAGCACAGGGCUAACACGUCGAAUCAGUACAUCAUUAAACUAAAGUUCUAUUAUAAUUUCACUCUUGUAUUUGUAGGAAGCUUAAUUUAUGCUUAAAAUUUGGUUUACAGCAAUCUUGGUAAUGCUCCAUUCUAACACUGUGUCAAGGCUAGGUUUAUUGCAAUUAUAAAUAAACAAUAUCGAGCAAUUACGCAAAGUUCAUUUGUUUAAAUUAGGAACUACUAUCGAAGAUUGUAUUAAUUUACCAGUUAUAUUUCUAGAUACAACAGAUUUUCAAUUAAAAUGCAACCUUUAUUUCUGUAGC